CCUACGGGAGGCAGCAGUGAGGAAUAUUGGUCAAUGGACGCAAGUCUGAACCAGCCAUGCCGCGUGCAGGAAGACGGCUCUAUGAGUUGUAAACUGCUUUUGUACGAGGGUAAACGCAGAUACGCGUAUCUGUCUGAAAGUAUCGUACGAAUAAGGAUCGGCUAACUCCGUGCCAGCAGCCGCGGUAAUACGGAGGAUUCAAGCGUUAUCCGGAUUUAUUGGGUUUAAAGGGUGCGUAGGCGGUCGGAUAAGUUAGAGGUGAAAUCCCGAGGCUCAACUUCGGAAUUGCCUUUGAUACUGGUCGUCUAGAGAGUAGUUGCGGUAGGCGGAAUGUAUGGUGUAGCGGUGAAAUGCUUAGAGAUCAUGCAGAACACCGAUUGCGAAGGCAGCUUACCAGGCUACUUCUGACGUUGAGGCACGAAAGCGUGGGGAGCAAACAGGAUUAGAUACCCCUGUAGUC
rnacentral:rRNA from 1 species